AAGGAAAUGGUCUAGACCCCACACACUCACUCGGUAAAGAAUCAGGCCUAUAGCUCAGCUGGCUAGAGCACACGACUGAUAAUGGUGAGGUCAGUGGUUCGAUUCCACUUGGGCCCACCAUAUGGGGCUGUAGCUCAGCUGGGAGAGCACGUGCUUGCAAGCAGGGGGUCACCGGUUCGAUCCCGGUCAGCUCCACCAAAGGGAAGAGACCCGCGCGCAGCGGGUCGGACGCUGGGGUGGAGAAGUAGGCGGUAGGUAAGCCGCAAGAGGAAGUAGAAAAAGUAACAAAGAGUCCGUAGUAGUGAGUUUCUGAAUAAAGAAGCUGAGUACUACCGAUUCGCAGUAUGGAAGCGGUAUUGUUCUUUGACAGUUGAGGAAGGGAAGGCCAUGUUUGUCAUCUUGCCGAUGGCAGACCUCCAGGUGGAUGCUUGGGGAUAUAUGGUCAAGUG
rnacentral:misc_RNA from 1 species